GGAUGUCGUUGAGGACACUUAGUUUGCGGAGGUCACGGCAGAGCCCCUGGAUUCGCAGUGCUUCUUCCUGACCAACUACUGCCCGCUGCAGGACAUCGAGAGGUGAGCGCCCAUCUGGCAUCGCAUCGUACAGCUGAGACAGAGCCUUCUCCUGCUUAUCUUCAUCAUCACUGGGGUUUACUGCACACACACACAUAUUAAAAGAUAUAUUAGCUACAAACAGUACUUAUUAAAGACCAACCAUUUUAGUAAACCAAAAACACCACUACUGCAGCCAUAAAUAUCAAGACUUGGUUAAUUAUUGAUUAACACUUUACCAGGAAUUAUGACUGUUUGGAGAACUGCUGGUCUUCUGCCAUUUGACCCUAUUCGCCUUUUUGAAUAAAGUGUUUAAUCACC